rnacentral:lncRNA from 1 species
AAAACAAAAAAAGUUCUUGAUCCUGAUUUUAUAUAGGUCUAAUUUCGAAUAAAGGGAAUUAGAAUCCAUUCAUAACCUUGGUGAUGGAACUGCCGUAUUCGUCCUUGUAGCGGUUGAACGUCGCAAGAAGCUGCGCCUUGCUCCUUGUACCCAAGAUUCUAAUAAUUUCCUCAUGAUUAAAGACUCCCUUGGUGAUAGUCUCAUGAAGAAUCUUUGCCUCUGAUUGAGCUAAGUUAGCAUUUAUCUCCUCACCGUUGUAUCGAUACGUGCUCACUAGUGCAAAUAGAAGCUGCAAUGUGCAGUUCAAAUAACAACAGUAUAAGUGAUUCCAUAAUAAUAUUGUCACAUAAGGAUAAAUUGCACCAGGGCCCAUGAACCUUUUAGCUUUGUUUCACUUAAGGUGUUCCAAUCUUUAUAUGUUUUCGUAUUCUUACCCAUAUGAUUAAGUUCCCCAUUAGACGGGACAAAUUUAGCCGUCCAAUUAAGAACAUGAACUUAAAAUUGCAUCAGACUACAAACAAUAGGAACCGAAUUGUAACAGUUGGAAAGGUGUUUAUGUCUCUAGAGAUCAUACAGCGCGAAAAUCUCCGGUGGUGUGUGAGGCAAUAUCUUCUUCCAAAGAAUGUUUGUAGCGCGCUUGGUACGCUCGCUUCACGGCCAAGAGCUCAUCAGGGGAAUUCACACUCGCGAUCUCAAUUAUCACUAUGUAGUCCACAUUCUUGCUCUUCAAUGCGACAUUAGCCAUGAUAGCUUCUCGCUCGACCGGAUCGAAUAUCCAUCGAUAAACCGCCCUCUACAAUACAAAAUACAAGAUGACGGCAUAAGAAUGCAUGUAUUGUAAAACAUGGAAGGUUGUGCAUCAUCAACAUUCGGUUCCUACACAAAUAGAUACCUCGAAGUCGCCAGAGAGUUCCGACUCGAGCCGCUUGAUCAAAUUUUCGUUGUAUUUCUCUUCGUAGGCCAACGCGAUUUGCUUCCUCUGAGCUGCAUCUCUGUGUGCUAACACAGCUAUCACCGCCUUCUCGUCAGUUCCCCAUCCUAUUAAAUGUUACCGAGGAAAAGUUAGGAACAUAAAUAUUAUCCUUCUAAAUUUUGUUCCUCGUUUGAUCAACAGUUGGUAAUAAGAAGUGCCUUGCGCACUGUUUUUUCUCCUUAAGAUGACAAUUGUUUUAUCAUGAAGUUGACAACAGAAGCUCUAAGAUGGCAUCGCGAAUAACACUUCGCCCCUGCUGAUCAUGUUUCUGCAUCAGGCAUGGUCUUGAUCUACAUGAAGUUGAUUCGAGUCCGACUCAAAAGCGUGUUGUGUCAACUUACACAGGUGCAAAUCCGGUUAGCCCAAAAAACAUCAGAUGAAUUCGAGUUUCUUUGAAAAGGCAUAUAUAUAUAUCCAACUAUCUUUGCUUCAUAUAUGCUAAAUUUAAGAAUCGAGAAUUGUUGGAAAAUUGAAAAUAGGUGGUGAUUAGCGACCGAAUGAUUCAAGCUUCAUUAGAUGCCAAAAGAGUUGUUACAUAUUCACCUAAUUCUCUUAAUCAUGUAAUCCAAAAAUUGCUUAACCAUAGUAGGUUAUUUCCAUAGUAAACAGAGCAGGAAAAAUGGACAUGUUGGUGAGUGGAGUGGUUGAGAUCUCUAUUAAUUUUAAUAUAGAUAGGAUAAUAGAUAAAUUAACUAAAAUUUAAAUAUAAAAAUAAAAGUUUAUUUCACAUGCAUUGCCAUAGCUUAGAAGGUAACGCCCUCUAUAAAUAACAACAUUGAACAGGGCAAAACAGGACUAUAUUAAUCUUCCUAUAUGCAAUUUCAAAAUGCAGCACAAAGAGGCAUCUAAAUUUGCUGAAAAAAAAAAAAAUCAAAUUCAAAUUAUAUUAAGCACCAACUUGCCAUGGUUUGAUAACAAUUAAUAAAAGCUACAUUCCUAUUAAUGGGAUUUUAAAAUUAACAAAAUUAGAUGAAUCAUGCACCCAAGGCCACACUAGCAGAAAAUGCACCAUAAGAGUUCGAAAAACAUGCAUAGACACCAUGUAGUAUUGAUUCCAUUUCUCAAAAAAAAAGUAUUGAUUCCAUUCGAUGCGGGACUAAUAUUUCUAAUAUCUGUCAAAAUUUCCAGAUCAUUCUAAAAAAUGUGGGAUCCUAAGAAUAUGUCAUAUUUACUGGUCACAUUUUUUUUUAAAGUAACAAACAGCACACUUCAUUCACAAAGAAAUUAUAUAUUAUUUUUUUUAUUUUUUUAAGAGAAAUAUAAUAUAUUAUCUGUUUUGUUCAUUUUUUUUAAAUGAACACAGCAAAAUAUGUGAAACAACUAGAAUUCACACUUGGAGUACCAACUAUCAGGCCCCCUAACGGUACUUUUGUUAGCAUAAAGUCAUGUAUCUCUUCUCUCAAAGCAAUUGAGAGAUCAAACUAAAAGUCUAUACAUCCUCUCGAAAAUAUAAUAUGAACAUGUAGAGAGAGAGAGAGAGAGAGAGAGAGAGAGAGACCUUGAAAAGCCUUCCUCAGCUUCUCAGCAUCUUCAAUGGGAGAAGGAACAGGAUCAGGAACACUAAGCGUGGCCAUGGCAAAUUACCCACAAACACACUUACUCUCUCUCUAAAACAAAGAGUAUCAAUGCUACAUUGGAGUCCAUAUAUAAUAUAUAUAUAGACAAUAAAGAGAGAGAGAGAGAGAGAGAGAGAGAGAGAGAGGGAGAGUAGAGUGGUGCAACGCAUGACCUCUUCGCACAUGAAACCGGCCCCAUUGCUUUGAACGUAACGCUUGCUACCGGUCGUCUCGGUCAUUGGUGGAACGUACAGUUUUACAGCCUACACCGGGUCUCUGAAUCUUCGUGCACCAGGCUGUCCUUAGCCCCCUAUUCCAUCUCUCUUUCUUUUUUUCUUUUUUUUUUCUCUCGAGUUAUUAGCAUGUAUUGAUUCAAAUAAGCUAACAAGAGAGUGUAAUGUUAAAAAAUGAGGAUUCAAAAGUGUCGACCGGGAUCAUGAUAAGACUAUACGGCCGGAUAUGUCCCAACGUUACGUACAAAUUAGAUUUAAUAAUCACAAUCUAAUAUAAUUAUUUGUUCGAACAAAAUUCAAUAAUUAUUUCGUGUUGUGACCUGUGAUGUUCUUUAGUUAUCUUAUUCCAUCUAAUUCGAAUUUAUGUGAAAAAAUAAGGCAAUCUCUACUGUACAAUGAGUUAUAGCUUUUAUUUUAUUUUAUUUUAUUUUUGCUCAGAUGCGGAAUAGUUGGAGAAAAAACUGAGACACUAUGGAAAGCAAAGGAUGAUGGUGCGGUGCAUGAGUGCUAAUGCACUAGGUGCAUACAGAUUGAGCACUGGAAAUUAAGGACGAUUCCCACUGACACAUUUCCAUUUCAAGUCAAUUACCUAAAUAAAUACUUUCACCUAAUAAUACUAAAUAAUAAUAAAUAAUAUUUAUUAUCUUUACACACGUAAACAUAAUAAUAAUAAUAAUAAUAAUGCACAUUGAUUUGCUCAUUUAUGCCUUGCAUACUCAACCGGCUGGUUCGGCUCUCACCGUUUGUCCGGAUUCGGAAACAAUAUCAGUGACUAAAUAUUUACUGAUUUUGAUUUUGGUUUUUUUUAAAAAUUUUUAAAACUAUGUAUCUUGCGAAUUUAUUUAUCUUUAGUCGUGUAACGCUUUAGUUACAUAAAAUGGAGUGCAAUUAUAGUGUUAUUUAUUAUUUAUUACGUGUCAUUGUUUAGUUGCACGUACUAAUUUAGUGGAGGGUGGGGAGCGUGAGUGUUGCAUUAUCAGUUGAAAAUGAGCAUUCUUAUAACGCGAGUACAUUAAUUAAGUUCUAGCGUUACGGGUCCCAGAAACGCAAGCCCGUAUUUUCGGGCUCAUGUGGGUCACAAUGACACAUUGGUGGGCCCUCCUGGCAGUGUCAUAGCCGUGACACGUUACUGAAACAUGUAAAAACCACCUCCACCCACCCACAAUAUUAUUAGGAAGUAGAGCAGCCACCACAUGGUCCACAUCACGAUUUUGCAGAGAUGUACUAUUUCUUUUGUUUUUUUUUUUUUUUGGAUAACCUCAAAAAAAAAAAUGCAUAUAGUUUUACACUUUUUCAUUUUAAUAUUCUGUGAUUUAAAGUGUAUCAAUUUGUCCCAUGUGGUUUUGUUUUUAUCUUUUUGACAGCUUUUUUUUUAAUAUUUCGUUAGAUUAUAUAAAAAAAAACUUUAAAUACCCAUCUAGAUUUAUCGAAUAUUUACUUUAGUAUCCUUUUAUUUUAAUUUUGACACUGAUUUAAGAAAAAAAUAAUAAUAAAAUUGAUAAAAAAAAAAACGAAGCCACAGAAAGGCAAAUUAAUACACUUUAAACUAUAGGAUACUAAAAUAAAAAAAUACGAAACCACAUGAGAAUUUUUGAAGUUAUCCCAUUGUUUUUCUCUAGAUGUAGUGGAGGAGAGACAUAAUAAUGUGGCAAAGAAGAGAGCGUACGUGUCCAGUUAUUUGAAAACAUAAAUUAAAAAAAAAAAUUCAAAUACCACCACUGUAAUUUUAUAUCUUUUUAUUUUAAUACUCUGUGAUUUAAAAUAUAUUAAUUUAAUACCCUAUGAUUUUAUUUUUAUCUUUUUAUUAUCGAUUCCACUAUUUUUUUUUUGUUAAAUCAGUAAUAAAAUUAAAACUAAAAUGUAUUAAAACGAAUAUUCGAUAAACUUAAGUAGAGUAUCUGAAAUUUUUUAUAUAUAACUUGGCAAAAUAUUAACGAAAAAACUGACGAAAAAAUAAAAAUAAAAUCACAUAAUACUAACUUGAUACACUUUAGACCACAAGAUAUUAAAGUGAGAAAAUACGCAACCACAGAGAUGAUAUUUGAAAAUUAUCCUAAAUUAAAUACAAAAAAUUUAAAAUUUUUAAUAUUUUAAAAAAUUGGUAAAAUAAAAAUUACUUUUUGCUUCUAGAAUAAGAGAGCGUAAAAUAUACACUUUCUUUUAGAGUGCGUAGCGCAGGCAACAGUGCUUAUGUACAAGUAAUGUGCACUCCAUUUGAACAACUACAUUUACAAAAUAGGCAUACCAAAGAACUCUAAAACUGCAGCAGGAGCAGCAACAACAACAACAACAGAAAAACCUUAUGCACCACACAAUUUCUACUAGCGACAAGAAACCAUUCAAUAAUAACUGAUUUUGUACUAACUGCGUAAAGAAAGAAACUAAUCAACAAAAAAAUAAAAGAAAACAAGCCAAAAAUACCUCAUCAUUCACCAGCUUGACUACCAAAAUCUGCAAGUAGACCAUCAUAAUAAGCAGGAGCACCACAAUGAGGAAUAUCACAUCAAGGUAUGGGAAACGUUUAAGUGUUCUUCCAAGUUAGCAAUCCAUGUUAGGUGCAAUGAGAAGGUAAACAUAGGAUUGCACAAAAGUAAACUGCAAUUAGCCGCCAUUUACACCAGUCCCUCGACUAGGCAUUACAUGAUACAACGGUAAGUGACGUGGGAUCCUGUGAGUUCUCCGUCAUAUGUAACUUUCAUAACUGUUCCCUUCUCGAGGCCAUAAUAUCGUGCGAUGGCAUCAGUUUCCAGCAUACGAGGAAGCUGAAACGACAAUAACAAAGCAGUUUUAGCUACAAAGAAACAUUAUAGUCUUGUUUAGCCUGGCAUCUAGAGCAGCUACUCUGCUUGGAGAAGCAGCUUCCAUGCAUUGGUAAACACUAAAGCCUACAGCCAACCUUUUACACGGCAGAAGCUGAAAUGAAUUUAUGAACAUCAAAAGCACAAGCUCAAAUUUUGAAGCCUCUGCUUUAGCUGCAGUCAAAUGAUUUUAGAUAUUUCAACGAGAAAGAUGCAAGUGCUUUUUCAAAUAGCUAUACUCAAAUCGAACUUCUGAUGAAUCAAGGCAUUGUACCUGUUUAUCCUCCACACUAUACUUCUUUAACAGCUCAUUCUUUUCUUCUUGCGUCAGUACUUCAUGUUUUGGAAUAAGAAAAUGCUUUGUAAUGUUGACCAGCAAGUCAGUAAUCUGAAAUUUCCGAAACAUACCAAUAUCAGAAUGCAGAAAAGUUGAAAAGGUUCAGAUCUCUAACCUCUUUAAUUUAAUGUUAAAAAAAAAAGAAAAAAGAAGAAAUAUUGAGAAAUAAUAUGAUAAGACCUAUAUGAUUUUCAUCUCUAAUCCUAUUUUUUCUAGUAUCAUCACCACUCAUCCAUCUCAACAAUCUGAUCUCUGCUAUUUCCAUCUUUUGGGCAUUGUAUUUCCCGGAUAGCCCCAAGGUUUAGAGCAGCAAAUCAUAUUGCAGGGGAGCAAUGUCCAACGAAACUAGCCUCAAUUUUGGUGGCAUCUUUAAUCAUACAAGACUCUCUCAUUGCACUCCCUCCGCUUAAUCUCUCGAGACUUAAAUGUCAUUUUGGAUAGUUGUCUCGAGAUUCAAAACCUGCUCAUCUUUUAAGUAGGUCUCGCCAUUAAUCUUUUGAUCCAACCUCAUAUUUUCCUCUC